rnacentral:rRNA from 1 species
AUUGAACGCUGGCGGCAUGCUUUACACAUGCAAGUCGAACGGUAACAGGUUAAGCUGACGAGUGGCGAACGGGUGAGUAAUGCAUCGGAACGUGCCCGAUCGUGGGGGAUAACGCAGCGAAAGCUGCGCUAAUACCGCAUACGACCUGAGGAUGAAAGCGGGGGACCGUAAGGCCCCGCGCGAUCGGAGCGGCCGAUGUCAGAUUAGGUAGUUGGUGGGGUAAAGGCCCACCAAGCCGACGAUCUGUAGCUGGUCUGAGAGGACGACCAGCCACACUGGGACUGAGACACGGCCCAGACUUCUACGGGAGGCAGCAGUGGGGAAUUUUGGACAAUGGGCGAAAGCCUGAUCCAGCAAUGCCGCGUGCAGGAAGAAGGCCUUCGGGUUGUAAACUGCUUUUGUACGGAGCGAAAAGGUCCUUUCUAAUACAAGGGGCUCAUGACGGUACCGUAAGAAUAAGCACCGGCUAACUACGUGCCAGCCGCCGCUGUAA